rnacentral:rRNA from 1 species
AGAGUUUGAUCAUGGCUCAGGACGAACGCUGGCGGCGUUAACACAUGCAAGUCGAACGAGGACCAGGGAGCUUGCUCCNNGNNGCCGAGUGGCGGACGGGUGAGUAACACGUGACUAACCUGUCCCAGGGUGAGGGACAACCUGGGGAAACCCGGGCUAAUACCACAUGAUGUCUCGAGGUCGCAUGGCCAUGAGAUCAAAGAGGGCCUCUACUUGUAAGCUCUCGCCCAGGGAGGGGGUCGCGACGUAUCAGCUAGUUGGUGGGGUAAUGGCCCACCAAGGCUACGACGCGUAGCGGGUCUGAGAGGACGACCCGUCACAUUGGGACUGAGAUACGGCCCAGACUCCUACGGGAGGCAGCAGUGGGGAAUAUUGCGCAAUGGACGAAAGUCUGACGCAGCGACGCCGCGUGUGGGAGGAAGCCUUUCGGGGUGUAAACCACUGUCAGGGGGGAAGAAAGGCGUCCAGUCGAACAGGCUGGGCGAUUGACGGUACCUCCAAAGGAAGCGCCGGCUAACUCCGUGCCAGCAGCCGCGGUAAGACGGAGGGCGCAAGCGUUGUUCGGAAUUACUGGGCGUAAAGCGCGGGCAGGCGGUCUGUUAAGUCGUUUGUGAAAACCCGGGGCUCAACCCCGUGGAAUGCCAACGAUACUGGCAGGCUAGAGACCGGUAGAGGCUAGCGGAAUUCCAGGUGUAGCGGUGGAAUGCGUAGAUAUCUGGAAGAACACCUGUGGCGAAGGCGGCUAGCUGGGCCGGGUCUGACGCUCAUCCGCGAAAGCGUGGGGAGCAAACAGGAUUAGAUACCCUAGUAGUCC